rnacentral:lncRNA from 1 species
UCUUCUUGCGUUUCCUUCGUACACACACACAUCACGAAUUUCAACAAACACCUUGCGAGCAUCUUUCGUUAUGCACACGCACGUCACAUUCACGUAUGCUACUUUUCAUAACUUAACAUUAUAAACACUUCAUAUAUUUUUCUUUUAUCAUUUAGGAUAUUCAAUUUUAGGGUCAUACUAAUAAACUAAUAUUUUAAUUAUAUAUAUUUUUAAUUUAAAAUAUUAUUAUAAUGGUUUGUCUUUUCUGGCUGUUAAAGAUUUUUUUUUUAAAUGUUAUGUUAUGUCUAACCUAUUUCAAUGAAAUUGUUUUAUAAUAUUUAUAUAAACUUAUAACUAUGUGUAUAACUUAUGCCAUAAAUAUAUAUAUAUAUAUAUAUAUAUAUAUAUUUAGGUGUAUUAAAUCUUGUGCUUGAUUUUUUUUAAAGAAAUUAUUAGUUUUGGUGUUCAUAAUUAUUUAAGACAAACUUUCUCAUCAUUUAAAUAAUGUGAGUAUAGACAUGUCACAUAUUAACAACUAUUAUGAGAUGGCAUAUAACAUGACAUGUCUGGGUAUAUAGUCUACAUGUAUUUUAUAUGAAUUAUUAAUUUUAGGGUUUAGGUUUGAAGUUCUUUUAAAGUUGGUAUUUUAAAAGUUUUUUAUUUAUUUACGCUGACCUAAUAAAAAAUACCAGUUUUAUGUUUGGUUUCAAAGAAAAAUAAUUCUUUGACAGUGAGUUAUAUACCACUCUUAAUAUAAAUAUAAAUAUAUAUAAUAAAUAGUAAAUUUAUAAUUAAAUAAUAUAUAAAAAUAUUAAAAGUUAUAACAUAGUUAUAGCAUAUAAAAAGAUAGAUGGUCAAUAUAAAUAUAUAUAUAUCACAAAAACAAGAAACAACCUUUUAUCUGGUAACACAACUUCAGAAAAAUAUAAAUUACCCACAUUGAUAACUACACACAACGAUAACUUCAAUGUUCUAACUCACACAGCUCUUUUCCACACUAUAUACGAUCGUCUUCACCCUAAUCUUUAAACUAUAUAUAUUGUAUUAUAAAUACACUAUAAUUAACAGCGUACUUUAUUAACAUGUUGUUUAGCAUACAAACAUCAAACUUUAGAUAACACAUUUUGUGUAUUUGUCACUACCAAAUAAAACGUAGAACAAUAAAUCUUGUAGUAUAGUACUUAUACGUCCUGGGAUAUAUUUUGUAUCGCUAUUACCGUAUGUUUGGAGUGAAGGAAGGAAAGAAAGAAAAAAAAAAUUCCUUAUAUAAAUCAAGUUUUUUUUUUCUCACACCACAAAAAGAAAAAUUUAUCUAUAUAUCUUUAAUUUCUUUUUUUCUUUGGCAUGUUUUCAUCAUUAUCUGGAAUGUGUCUAUAUACUAAUAACAUUGGUAUAAAAAUAAUUUCAAUAAUUUCAUCCUAUUUCUUUUACGCUUUGUUGAAAGAAUUUACUUCUUCUUUCUCUUUCUAGUUCACAUCAUCAUUAACAUUUUAUUCAACAUCAUAAUUAACAGAAAUGGUAUUAAGAGUGGUAAACGUGAGUAUAAAGAAAGUAAGAGUUGUUAAUUAUCCUGGUCCUAUAAUUAUUAAAGGGUGUAAAGAGUGUGUAAAAAAGAAGUAAUAACAAAAUAUUAAAUUUUUUUAUGCAGUAUCAUAUAAGUGCAUGGGAAACAAGAUUGAGAAAAACCAUGAACAACACAUUAAUGUAAACAAAACAGCAUUCAUGUAUAUAUAUGCAGGAGCCUCACGUGAUGUAACUUGCAGGAUCACACGAUGAUUUUGAGAGACAAAUCAAGAAACCCUAAAGAUUGCUAUAGCUCUAGCUACACAAGGUAAUAACAUAUAAUAGUAUAUCCUUUUCAGGUUUUAACAAAGAUGAACACAACAGGGGAACAUAAUUCUUGUUUAUGCAUCAAUUCAUCAACCUUAUCUUCUAAUUCCAUGGUCCUUAAUUACUCCUCAAAUCAACUACCAAAGCAAUCUAUAUGGAAAAAAGACAAAAAAAAUGUCUAAUAUAGUAUAUAUGAUGAUGGCACAGGGAGGAACAUACCUUGGUGUUGUGGUGGAUGUGAUGGUAAAUUCGAAAUAUUCUCAACAGCACUAGACUGAGACACUGUUGUUGUUGGAUCUUUGUGCUGUGGUUUGCCACCAAUGACUUCAACAAGGGCUGAUACCACAGCUGAUAUGUCUUGCUUAGACUGAGAAAAAUAAAACGGAAACGU